GACGAACGCUGGCGGCGUGCUUAACACAUGCAAGUCGAACGGAAAGGCCCUGCUUUUGUGGGGUGCUCGAGUGGCGAACGGGUGAGUAACACGUGAGUAACCUGCCCUUGACUUUGGGAUAACUUCAGGAAACUGGGGCUAAUACCGGAUAGGAGCUCCUGCUGCAUGGUGGGGGUUGGAAAGUUUCGGCGGUUGGGGAUGGACUCGCGGCUUAUCAGCUUGUUGGUGGGGUAGUGGCUUACCAAGGCUUUGACGGGUAGCCGGCCUGAGAGGGUAACCGGCCACAUUGGGACUGCGAUACGGACCAGACUCCUACGGGAGGCAGCAGUGGGGAAUAUUGCACAAUGGGCGGAAGCCUGAUGCAGCAACGCCGCGUGCGGGAUGACGGCCUUCGGGUUAUAAACCGCUUUCGCCUGUGACGAAGCGUGAGUGACGGUAAUGGGUAAAGAAGCACCGGCUAACUACGUG
rnacentral:rRNA from 1 species